rnacentral:rRNA from 1 species
AAGUCGUAACAAGGUUUUCCGUAGGCGGAACACUGCAUCCUUUCGGGUACAUCUGCCGAAACCUUAGUGGAUUGAUUAGGCGACUCUAAACAAGUAUAAUCCUCGGGGCUUGCCCCUCGAGCACUAGCCCUCCCUUUGUGGAUGGCGACAUUACCAGUAUGCGGGAACAUUCAACUUGGUUGGAUAACCCGCAGUCACAUUCGUGGCCCACAGGCUAAAUGGUAAUGGGCAUAGGCGCCAUACCACCUAUGCUUCAGAUAUAGUCGGUCCCCAGAUAUCUCUGGGAGACUUGUGGAAUUAGGGGCGAGUUGCAGGCACUUGCAUAAUCGGCAACUGCUUCGCAGUGCGGCUCAUAACCAAUAUCCACAAGCGAGUAAACGUUCCGUAGGUGAACCUGCGGAAGGAUCAUUA